GUCAGCUCGUGUCGUGAGAUGUUGGUUAAGUACCCGCAACGAGCGCAACCCCUAUUGUUAGUUGCCAUCAUUCAGUUGGGCACUCUAGCGAGACUGCCGGGUAAUAAACCGGAGGAAGGUGGGGAUGACGUCAAAUCAUCAUGCCCCUUAUGACCUGGGCUACACACGUGCUACAAUGGUUGGUACAACGAGUUGCGAGUCGGUGACGGCGAGCUAAUCUCUUAAAGCCAAUCUCAGUUCGGAUUGUAGGCUGCAACUCGCCUACAUGAAGUCGGAAUCGCUAGUAAUCGCGGAUCAGCACGCCGCGGUGAAUACGUUCCCGGGCCUU
rnacentral:rRNA from 1 species